rnacentral:rRNA from 1 species
UGGGGAAUUUUGGACAAUGGGGGAAACCCUGAUCCAGCCAUGCCGCGUGCGGGAAGAAGGCCUUCGGGUUGUAAACCGCUUUUGGCAGGAACGAAACGGCGCGCGCUAAUACCGCGCGCUAAUGACGGUACCUGCAGAAUAAGCACCGGCUAACUACGUGCCAGCAGCCGCGGUAAUACGUAGGGUGCAAGCGUUAAUCGGAAUUACUGGGCGUAAAGCGUACGCAGGCGGCUGUGCAAGACAGAUGUGAAAUCUCCGGGCUCAACCUGGGAACUGCAUUUGUGACUGCAUAGCUAGAGUCCGUAAGAGGGGGGCGGAAUUCCACGUGUAGCAGUGAAAUGCGUAGAGAUGUGGAGGAACACCGAUGGCGAAGGCAGCCCCCUGGGAUGAGACUGACGCUCAUGUACGAAAGCGUGGGGAGCAAACAGG